UGGAGUCUCGCCCUGUCACUGAGGCUGGAGUGCACUGGCAUGAUCUUGGCUCACUGCAACCUCCACCUCCCGGGUUCAAGCAAUUCUCCUGCCUCAGCCUCCCGAGUAGCUGGGAUUACAGACACCCACCACCACACCCGGCUAAUUUUCGUAUUUUUAGUAGACACAGGGUUUCGCCAUGUGAACAGGUCUCGAACUCCUGACCUCAGGUGAUGCACCCAUCUUGGCCUCCCAAAUUGCUAGGAUUACAGGCGUGAGCCACCGCACCUGGCCACACAUUUUUGUUUUAUGCCUUUGGGGAAAGCUAAUUGCUUAGGCAUUUUAAAUUUUAGGUGUUGUGCGGCCGGGCGUGGUGGCUCACGCCUGUAAUCCCAGCACUUUGGGAGGCCGAGGCGGGCGGAUCACGAGGUCAGGAG
rnacentral:lncRNA from 1 species